rnacentral:rRNA from 1 species
UACGGAGGGUGCAAGCGUUAUCCGGAUUCACUGGGUUUAAAGGGUGCGUAGGUGGGCAAGUAAGUCAGUGGUGAAAUCUCCGGGCUUAACCCGGAAACUGCCAUUGAUACUAUUUGUCUUGAAUACUGUGGAGGUCAGCGGAAUAUGUCAUGUAGCGGUGAAAUGCUUAGAUAUGACAUAGAACACCCAUUGCGAAGGCAGCUUACUACACGAUCAUUGACACUGAGGCACGAAAGCGUGGGGAGCAAACAGG